GCUGGCGGCAUGCUUUACACAUGCAAGUCGAGCGGCAGCGCGGGGGCAACCCUGGCGSCGAGCGGCGAACGGGUGAGUAACACAUCGGAACGUAUCCCGUAGUGGGGGAUAACCCGGCGAAAGCCGGGCUAAUACCGCGUAUGCUCUACGGAGGAAAGUGGGGGACUUCGCAAGGGGCCUCACGCUAUGGGAGCGGCCGAUGUCCGAUUAGCUAGUUGGUGGGGUAAAGGCCUACCAAGGCGACGAUCGGUAGCUGGUCUGAGAGGAUGAUCAGCCACACUGGGACUGAGACACGGCCCAGACUCCUACGGGAGGCAGCAGUGGGGAAUUUUGGACAAUGGGGGCAACCCUGAUCCAGCCAUGCCGCGUGCGGGAAGAAGGCCUUCGGGUUGUAAACCGCUUUUAGUCGGGAAGAAAGGGUUCUCCUGAAUACGGAGGAUUUUUGACGGUACCGGCGGAAUAAGCACCGGCUAACUACGUGCCAGCAGCCGCGGUAAUACGUAGGGUGCGAGCGUUAAUCGGAAUUACUGGGCGUAAAGCGUGCGCAGGCGGUUCUCCAAGUCCGUUGUGAAAGCCCCGGGCUCAACCUGGGAAUGG
rnacentral:rRNA from 1 species